rnacentral:misc_RNA from 1 species
CAUUCCUCUCUGCUGCCGGCACCGCAUGAACAACAGGACGGAUGAAGUCCUCAAGCCAAAACGGGGCACGUCAGGCUUCCGUAAGGGACAAUUGAUUCGGGAAAAAGGGGACAAAGGACCCCGACCGAUCAUGCAUCUACAUACAAGACUUCGAGCAACACUUGGGCAACCGAUGCUUGCAAGCUAAAUAAGCAAAGCAAGGUCGGACGUCCAUUGGAGCUUCAGGGUCUAUGUCGCACAAAACAUUUCGCACGACACAGAGUAGGGGCAAUGGGACUGGAGAAUUCCACAAAAAUGGGUAUGCUGCACAGGGGGCCAUGCCAAUCCGAGGCAAAAUAUUUAGCACUUGGACAGAAUUGAACAGGUUUGAACCAGCGGUUGUCGCUGCCGAGGCAGGGAACCAACCGGCCGAGACAUGCCAAGCACC